AUUGAACGCUGGCGGCGCGCUUAACACAUGCAAGUCGAGCGAGAACCAGGCCUUCGGGCCUGGGGACAGCGGCGAACGGGUGAGUAACACGUGGGUAAUCAACCCUCGGUACUGGGAUAGCCCGGGGAAACCCGGAUUAAUACCGGAUGGCCCUUCGGAGCUUCGGUUCCGAAGGAAAAGGUAGCUUAGGCCUCCGACCGAGGACGCGCCCGCGGCGGAUUCGCUUGUUGGUGGAGUAACGGCCUACCAAGGCGGCGAUCCGUAGCUGGUCUGAGAGGACGAUCAGCCACACUGGGACUGAGACACGGCCCAGACUCCUACGGGAGGCAGCAGUGGGGAAUCUUGCGCUAAUGCGGGAAACCGUGACGCAGCGACGCCGCGUGAGGGAAGAAGGCCUUCGGGUUGUAAACCUCUUUCAGGAGGGACGAAGCUACUCGGGUUAAUAGCCCAGAGGGUGACGGUACCUCCAGAAGAAGCCCCGGCUAACUACGUGCCAGCCGCCGCAGUAAAAC
rnacentral:rRNA from 1 species